rfam:Aedes albopictus isolate Foshan contig94212, whole genome shotgun sequence.
UGUACUAUGGCUUAGUUGGUUAAAGCGCCAGACUAGCGAUACGCAGUCCUGGGUUCGAAUUCCAGCAAAACAA